AUAAGUAAUAUGAAGUCAGUAUGAUUUGCAUAAGUAUUUCUUCCUUCUCGUGACUCUGCCUCUUAGAGUAUUAUAAGAAGGUUUCUCACGGCUGUGUCAUAAUCCACAUAAACUCAGGGAAAGCUCAAAGAUGGUGCUCAUACCACAGUUCUUUGUACUUUUUCUUUUCUGGAUUUCAGCCUCCAGAGGAGACAUCGUGCUGACUCAGUCUCCAGCCACCCUGUCUGUGACUCCAGGAGAGAGUGUGAGUCUCUCCUGCAGGGCCAGUCAGGGUAUUAGCACUAGCAUACACUGGUAUCAGCAAAAAUCAAAUGAGUCUCCAAGGCUUCUCAUCAAGUAUGCUUCCCAGUCCAUCUCUGGAAUCCCCUCCAGGUUCAGUGGCAGUGGAUCAGGGACAGAUUUCACUCUCAGUAUCAACAGAGUAGAAUCUGAAGAUUUUUCAGUUUAUUACUGUCAACAGAGUUACAGCUUGCCCCCACAGUGA